UUAUUUGAGAGUUUGAUCCUGGCUCAGGAUGAACGCUGGCGGCGUGCCUAACACAUGCAAGUUGAGCGAUUUACUUCGGUAAAGAGCGGCGGACGGGUGAGUAACGCGUGGGUAACCUACCCUGUACACACGGAUAACAUACCGAAAGGUAUGCUAAUACGGGAUAAUAUAUUUGAGAGGCAUCUCUUGAAUAUCAAAGGUGAGCCAGUACAGGAUGGACCCGCGUCUGAUUAGCUAGUUGGUAAGGUAACGGCUUACCAAGGCGA
rnacentral:rRNA from 1 species